rnacentral:rRNA from 1 species
CGUGUAGGCGGCUUUUUAAGUCUGGAGUGAAAGUCCUGCUUUCAAGGUGGGAAUUGCUUUGGAGACUGGAGAGCUUGAGUGCGGAAGAGGUAAGUGGAAUUCCCAGUGUAGCGGUGAAAUGCGUAGAGAUUGGGAGGAACACCAGUGGCGAAGGCGACUUACUGGGCCGUAACUGACGCUGAGGCGCGAAAGCGUGGGGAGCGAACA